UUUUAUAUUUUAAAUUUGAAGGUUAAACUCCCAAGGUGAAAUUUACAUUGAUUGGAAGAUUCUUUUGAUAGAAUAUUCCUGCCAAAAGACAGCAGAAGGGGGACUAACUGAUGUAUGGAUUUUGACACCAGAUUUUACCCUGCACGAGCAGGCCAACUUGAGGAGAUCAGGAGUGGGAAUACCGAGCCCUGUCCUUGACUAAGAAAAGUUGGAUUUGUUGAGAGGACCUGAUCUCAAAUGAGAUCAUGCACAAGACGCACCUCGCAAAGGCCAUGACAGUAUAGUUUUCAGACCUGAUUAGCUGGUGACUGCUCUAUGAAGUGUUGUUCAACCUACCCUAAGGGGGAGAUUCGAGAGGGUCUCCUGAUUGCUGAACACUACGCCAUGGUUGAUGUCAUCUCCAAAAAGUUUGCCCUGCCCAUAUCAACAGUGGAAGAGAACAUGAAAUGGGCCUUGAGGAGGCUUCGUGUCAUGUACUGCGGGGAGAAUAUAUAAACUGUGUAGUGUUGAGCAAUAUGUUCCUUUGUUCAUAGGUGUAAAUAUGUGUAUAGGGCUAUUCCAGGAAAAGAUAGGAUGAAGGAUUCCUUAAUGGCGUCAUUUAAUAAAUCCGGUACCACCAAUACAGUUAAAAACAAUUAUUAUUAAUUUUAUCCUCUGUAUCACCCCUCACUAACUGAAACUGUAUAUAUCAUGGUUCAUAUCCUUCCUCCCAUUUUUACCUGUGGUAGCCCUAAGAGGAGAAUGUUAUUUAUUUUAAUUUAUUAUGUUAAAUGUGCUCGCAUAUUGUGAUAAUGUAUCUUGGGUAGAUGUUUUCCUGGUUUUGUUAAAAAUGCACUGUAAAAAUGUUCACAUUAUUUGUUUUUUUAAUAUAAACAUAUUUUUUUGCAAAUUGUGUGUGUCUUUUCUUUUUAAUCACAUGGGGCUUGUAAUGAUCUGUUGUG